rnacentral:rRNA from 1 species
AGUAAAUAGAUACCCUGGUAGUCCACGCCGUAAACGAUGUCGACUUGGAGGUUGUGCCCUUGAGGCGUGGCUUCCGGAGCUAAACGCGUUAAGUCGACCGCCUGGGGAGUACGGCCGCAAGGUUAAAACUCAAAUGAAUUGACGGGGGCCCGCACAAGCGGUGGAGCAUGUGGUUUAAUUCGAUGCAACGCGAAGAACCUUACCUACUCUUGACAUCCAGAGAACUUAGCGGAGAUGCUUUGGUGCCUUCGGGAACUCUGAGACAGGUGCUGCAUGGCUGUCGUCAGCUCGUGUUGUGAAAUGUUGGGUUAAGUCCCGCAACGAGCGCAACCCUUAUCCUUUGUUGCCAGCGGUUAGGCCGGGAACUCAAAGGAGACUGCCAGUGAUAAACUGGAGGAAGGUGGGGAUGACGUCAAGUCAUCAUGGCCCUUACGAGUAGGGCUACACACGUGCUACAAUGGCGCAUACAAAGAGAAGCGACCUCGCGAGAGCAAGCGGACCUCAUAAAGUGCGUCGUAGUCCGGAUUGGAGUCU